rnacentral:rRNA from 1 species
UCCGUAGGUGGAUAAUUAAGUCAGAGGUGAAAUCCUGCAGCUCAACUGUAGAAUUGCCUUUGAAACUGGUUAUCUUGAGUUAUUAUGAAGUAGUUAGAAUAUGUAGUGUAGCGGUGAAAUGCACAGAUAUUACAUAGAAUACCAAUUGCGAAGGCAGAUUACUAAUAAUCAACUGACACUGAUGGACGAAAGCGUGGGGAGCGAACAGGAUUAGAUACCCUGGUAGUCC